UGAUGAUCAAGGAAAGGUGGAGCCCACAAUGGUCCAUUGUUGGCUGAGGGCUAGGUGUUAAUGAAUUGUGCAGACAGUGAAACUUAACAGGAUGACAGUGAAACUAGUUAAUUGCCAAAUACGUGG